GGGGUUGUGGCUCAGUGGUAGAGUGCUCGCCUAGCACGUGUGUGUCCCUGGGUUCGAUCCUCAGCACCA
rfam:Ictidomys tridecemlineatus contig060561, whole genome shotgun sequence.